GACGAACGCUGGCGGCGUGCCUAAUACAUGCAAGUAGAACGCUGAAGAGAGGAGCUUGCUCUUCUUGGAUGAGUUGCGAACGGGUGAGUAACGCGUAGGUAACCUGCCUUGUAGCGGGGGAUAACUAUUGGAAACGAUAGCUAAUACCGCAUAACAAUGGAUGACACAUGUCAUUUAUUUGAAAGGGGCAAUUGCUCCACUACAAGAUGGACCUGCGUUGUAUUAGCUAGUAGGUGAGGUAACGGCUCACCUAGGCGACGAUACAUAGCCGACCUGAGAGGGUGAUCGGCCACACUGGGACUGAGACACGGCCCAGACUCCUACGGGAGGCAGCAGUAGGGAAUCUUCGGCAAUGGGGGCAACCCUGACCGAGCAACGCCGCGUGAGUGAAGAAGGUUUUCGGAUCGUAAAGCUCUGUUGUAAGUCAAGAACGAGUGUGAGAGUGGAAAGUUCACACUGUGACGGUAGCUUACCAGAAAGGGACGGCUAACUACGUGCCAGCAGCCGCGGUAAUACGUAGGUCCCGAGCGUUGUCCGGAUUUAUUGGGCGUAAAGCGAGCGCAGGCGGUUUGAUAAGUCUGAAGUUAAAGGCUGUGGCUCAACCAUAGUUCGCUUUGGAAACUGUCAAACUUGAGUGCAGAAGGGGAGAGUGGAAUUCCAUGUGUAGCGGUGAAAUGCGUAGAUAUAUGGAGGAACACCGGUGGCGAAAGCGGCUCUCUGGUCUGUAACUGACGCUGAGGCUCGAAAGCGUGGGGAGCGAACAGGAUUAGAUACCCUGGUAGUCCACGCCGUAAACGAUGAGUGCUAGGUGUUGGAUCCUUUCCGGGAUUCAGUGCCGCAGCUAACGCAUUAAGCACUCCGCCUGGGGAGUACGACCGCAAGGUUGAAACUCAAAGGAAUUGACGGGGGCCCGCACAAGCGGUGGAGCAUGUGGUUUAAUUCGAAGCAACGCGAAGAACCUUACCAGGUCUUGACAUCCCGAUGCUAUUUCUAGAGAUAGAAAGUUACUUCGGUACAUCGGUGACAGGUGGUGCAUGGUUGUCGUCAGCUCGUGUCGUGAGAUGUUGGGUUAAGUCCCGCAACGAGCGCAACCCCUAUUGUUAGUUGCCAUCAUUCAGUUGGGCACUCUAGCGAGACUGCCGGUAAUAAACCGGAGGAAGGUGAGGAUGACGUCAAAUCAUCAUGCCCCUUAUGACCUGGGCUACACACGUGCUACAAUGGUUGGUACAACGAGUUGCGAGUCGGUGACGGCAAGCUAAUCUCUUAAAGCCAAUCUCAGUUCGGAUUGUAGGCUGCAACUCGCCUACAUGAAGUCGGAAUCGCUAGUAAUCGCGGAUCAGCACGCCGCGGUGAAUACGUUCCCGGGCCC
rnacentral:rRNA from 1 species